rnacentral:tRNA from 7 species
GGAGGGUUCGCCUAGUGGCCGAUGGCGCUGGUCUUGAAAACCGGUAAGGCAGCGAUGUCUUCGUGGGUUCGAAUCCCACACCCUCCGCC